ACAUUUGGGCAGUCGGACAGGAGAAAACAGAGCUUCCCGUCCGCUCAGCUGUACUUAAGCAUGGUACCGGCGGAUUAGUAGUCAGGUGGGUGACCACUGGCGAAUACCUGCUGUUGUAUGUUU